rnacentral:rRNA from 1 species
AUUGAACGCUGGCGGCAGGCCUAACACAUGCAAGUCGAAUGGUAACAGGAAACAGCUUGCUGUUUCGCUGACGAGUGGCGGACGGGUGAGUAAUGUCUGGGAAACUGCCUGAUGGAGGGGGAUAACUACUGGAAACGGUAGCUAAUACCGCAUAACGUCGCAAGACCAAAGAGGGGGACCUUCGGGCCUCUUGCCAUCAGAUGUGCCCAGAUGGGAUUAGCUAGUAGGUGGGGUAACGGCUCACCUAGGCGACGAUCCCUAGCUGGUCUGAGAGGAUGACCGGCCACACUGGAACUGAGACACGGUCCAGACUCCUACGGGAGGCAGCAGUGGGGAAUAUUGCACAAUGGGCGCAAGCCUGAUGCAGCCAUGCCGCGUGCAUGAAGAAGGCCUUCGGGUUGUAAAGUACUUUCAGCGGGGAGGAAGGGAGUAAAGUUAAUACCUUUGCUCAUUGACGUUACCCGCAGAAGAAGCACCGGCUAACUCCGUG